GAGAAGGGCCACUGCCCACUGUGGGGGUGGGCACGUGUCACAGAAGGUUCCUGAUGGAUGGAAUCUAGGACCUGAAACCAGAAGGACAGCUCAGGGCUGUACUCAGAGCAGCAAAUGAGGAAGAGCAGCAGAAAUGAAAAGAAGCCAUGAAGUCCGGCUCAGCACCGCAAGCUGACUCCUGCAGGCAUGGCCCUGGGCCCAGGUCCAGCCUCCUCGACUCCAGGGCCCCCCACCGACUCCCGAGGACAGCGCGCACCUCAACGGGGCCACCUGCCGCCAGGUACCUGCCAGUGGGCUCCUCAUUCCUUUGAGGACUGAAGUACAAACACUUGGGGGUCGCCAGCAGCCGAGUCACACAGUCUAUGAACUGGGAAACUGAACAAGGCGACCUGCAGUAAAAGAAAACCAUUCAUCCAACGCCAUUACGUUAUUUAUUAUUUGCUUCAAAUUGUGUUGAACCAGAUGAA